rnacentral:tRNA from 1 species
UCUGGAAAUAGCUCAGUUAGGAGAGCGUUAGACUGAAGAUAUAAAGGUUUCUGGAUCAAUCCUGGGAUGUGGCAGCG